GUUUAGCGACCGCAUACCUAUUGGGAAACGGAAACGAAUUCUUGUCCAAUAAUGAUCAAAUCACAGAUCUAUAUUAUAUAUAGAGAUUGUUAUGUGUGUAGCUCUUUUUUUCAAGCUUAAAAGAAGUCGCCCAAGCCAAAUCUAGGAAAAAUCAAUAUUUUCUGUCUUUGAAAACUUUGUUCCAACAUUCUUUGUGUCGUGUUAGAGAUUACACGUCCAGUCUAGACUGGUCUGCACUAUCUUGGUCCUUCAUUACCGACUCAUCGGUGUAGCAGUACAUGGCACUUGAUGACUAUGGAAAAUCAUGGGACGGGUUGCCUUAAUCAGCCAGGAAAAACAACAGAGAACAUUCACGAAAGGACAUCAGAAUCUAUGAUCUAAGAAAUUCCAUUAACCACGGAGGGUUUUAGGUUUAUCUGAAGGAGCUAAUGAUAGUAACAUUCCCACUUGUACACAGACGGAUUCACGAAAGUGUGUUGAAGCGUGACCAGGUCAUUCCAACUUUAAGAGAUGGGCGUUGAUUUCCCUGCAACUUGAACACUGUCAGUAUGACCAGAUCAGAAAUGUCAGUGGACUAUUGCAUGAUCCGAAACCUUUGUGUUCACCAUCAUACGUCCUGUUCUCAAGUAGAGCCUGUUUCUUUGGUCGUUUGGAUGUCCUUUCAAGAAUAUGGCUGUAUAUAGUAGGAAUUGGUUAGCUUUAUGCAUUGGGUUGUCUUCCUUGUUUGGGGGAAAGUGACACUCAUUGAAGACAAAUUCUUUCAAAAUCUUACGUGUUUCGCAAUUUCCCAUAGAAAACUUCGUGGGUAAUUUUAAAUCAUGUUAACAAGACAAGUGGAUGUAGCGGUGUAGCAAGAUAUUCGUGGGCUCGGGUUCAAGACCUUGGGCCCCCUCGCUGGGAUGGAAUAAGACAAAACAAAUUGUUCACCAUGUAUGAGCCACUACACUUUCAAAAUGUAGAUAAUAAGAGAACUGAUGUCAACAUAUAGCUCUGUGUCGAUUAAUUGUUUAU